rnacentral:rRNA from 1 species
UACGGAGGGUGCGAGCGUUGUCCGGAAUCACUGGGCGUAAAGCGUGCGCAGGCGGUUUUGUAAGCCAGGUGUGAAAUCCCCGGGCUCAACCUGGGAAUGGCAUUUGGGACUGCAAGGCUGGAGUGCGGCAGAGGAGACUAGAAUUCCUGGUGUAGCAGUGAAAUGCGUAGAUAUCAGGAGGAAUACCGAUGGCGAAGGCAGGUCUCUGGGCUGACACUGACGCUCAUGCACGAAAGCGUGGGGAGCAAACAGG